rnacentral:lncRNA from 1 species
GAUUAUUAAAAACAAUCUUUUCCUUCUACUAUACAAUCACAUGACUAUCAAAAGUAAUGUCAGUGAGACCCUUUUCUAAACUGUAAUGUGCUGUUCAAAUGUGAAAUUAUCACCUAUUAGAACUUUAUCUUAAUGGAACAAGGUUUCUUGCCAAGUGAUAGGUUCUCUUUCACUUGAGUCACAAUGGUCAUUCACACUGGGCCUUCCACUUUAGCUGGAGGUUAGGAUGAGUGCUCUCAAGGGUCUCCUCAAACUGGGAGAUCAUCUGGUUUUAUUCACGUGAAACUUUUCAUUUUGCAGUUUAUCAUCGUAGACACACAGAGGAAGCAAAUCUCGAUUCACUCCUAUGGAGUGAGCAUCACUUUUAUCUUCAUUUUACAGCUGGGGAGUCAGAGACAGAUUUGUCUGAUCCCAUACUUUCAGGAAGGUGAAAAAAUAUAUAUAGAAUAUGGUUCGUUUGUUUUAAAAAAAAAAAAAAGAAGAAUGACUCCUUGGGAAAAUGCUUUCUGUUGCUGCAUCCCAGUUCUGGGAAGAGUUUCAGGGGGUUUCUAACAUCUAAGAAGCAGAUCCUUAAGAAGAAAAAAAAUCACUUUUCAACACAAUUUUAUCUCAGAAAAACUCAUAUUCACCUUCCAUUUAUUGGAAUAUUAUCUUCUUAUAAAACAAAAAUAUUUGGACAUCUGAUCCUGAUUAGAUCAACAUCAAAAACCAAUCUAGGAAGAAAAUUGUUAAAGUUUAUUUCUCCCUGCUUUGUAAGAGAUGUCAUUUCUAAUAAAACUAUGGAAUAG